UAUAUGUAUGUACUUAUGUGGUUAUUAGUCUAGCUCUCAAAAUUUCCACAGUUUUUUUUAAUCUUUGGAAAAAGCAUAAAAUGUUUCCAAUUUUUAAAAUUUUUGUCGCAUAUCUCAUCAUUCUAUCACCAACUAAUGUUGAUGGAAUUGGAAACACAAAAACUUUCAACAGUGAGGAACUUGUAGAAAAAGAAUGGGCCCCAAUUAGGGAUACCCUGAAAAAGAUUGCGAAUUCAUUAACCAACAAUGAAUUGAAAUUUGAGUUGGGAGAAGUUCAGCGUUCAAUGAAGAAAGUAAUUGAACGAGCCAUCAAAGCAGAAUAUGACGUGAAACAGCUACAAAUAGAAUGUAAAAUGAAUCGCCUUCAUGAAGAAAAAUAUGCUUUGAUGGCAGAAAAAAGCAAGACAAGAUUGCUUGAAGAGAAAAUUGAGGGUCUGACUAGACCACUGUCCAUCAGAAAUAAAGCUACAAAAAUUGAAAAUAGACAUCCAGAAAUUCAAGGCACUAUCCCACAUGAAAUUUUAAAGAAACUGAAACCGUUCGAAAAACCACUCAUUCAACGACAAUAUAAAUGGAUGGAAUUGCUGAAUUGUAAAGAUGACUUGUACAUUCAAAAACUUGGAACUGAUUUGAAGAUAGCGUUUUCAAAAAUUAAAUCUAAAGCCGAAGACUCGUAUGAACAGUUUAAAUUGGAUUUUUGCUAUGCUCUUGCAACGGCGAUCGAAGGAAUAAAUGAAAAUAUUGUAAACUAUAAAUAUGAAGGGAUGCAAGAAAACCUUGAUGUAGGUGUAAACGAUGCAGUUAUUGGCCCCUACAUAGAUAUUUUUUUUAAUUCUGUUGUUUAUAGCACGAGGGAAAAAAAGAACAGUUUGUAGUAGUAUUACUGUAAUGACCAAACCAGCGAUCCAAAAACCGAAAAAAAAGUUAACAAGCAUUUUUUUCGGUGGCAAACGAAAUCGUUGAACUAGAUAACAGUUACCGAAACCAAAAAAUAACGGUUUCAGUUUCGAUUUCGGUAACUGUUAUCAGAUUUAACGUUUUCGUUUUCAGCUUCGAUUACAACUAAAAAAAAAAAAAAAAACAAAAAAAACUGCUGAUUAACCUUACUUAUUGAUUAUAACAAAAUGCUGUAAGACGUAGAAAAAAUAUAGACAUAAAAAUUAUAGGUGAAUUAAAUUAAUAUUACUUACUUCUUCAAAAUUCGAAAUACGUAAAUCAUUUUUUCAUAAGACUCCGAUUCGAAAUAAGAGAUGGAAAUAAUUAUGUACAUUAACACAUUAAAUUAAAUCAAAACAGAAAUUGACCAACCCAAAGAAUUCAGUCACCAAAAUUUUUGUUUGGGGGGAUGUAUUUUUAGAUAUUCAUAUCAAUUUUCAUUCAAUUUUGACCCAAAAUCGUUUCAUCAGAUGGGUGUGGACACCCUUGUCCUCUUCCUCUUUAGACUUGAGUAGAAAAAUCUGGAGACAGACAGUUUUUUUCUUCAAUUCCAAAACAUAUAGCCCUAUUACUUCUCAUUUGUUUGUGGAAUUGGGGCUACCUAUCGUAAUUUUGGAUCAGUGCACUUCUCUGAUUGUAUACAAUUAAUACAUACCUACAUGUUGAGAACCUCCAUAUUACCCUUCCCUCUCUUCACUCUGGGGAUAGUUUCUUAAAAAAGUCAGUAAUCCCCCCAACAAUUUUUUUACAAUAUAUACCUAAGUAUGUAUGGAAAAAAUGGUCGUCUUGAACAUAGAUAAAUUAUUGUACAAUGAUAAGCAAUGAAUUCUGAUAAUAAAUGCAAAAUAAAUGU